AUUGAACGCUGGCGGCAUGCCUUACACAUGCAAGUCGAACGGUAACAGGUUAAGCUGACGAGUGGCGAACGGGUGAGUAAUGUAUCGGAACGUGCCCAGUCGUGGGGGAGAACUACUCGAAAGAGUGGCUAAUACCGCAUACGACCUGAGGGUGAAAGCGGGGGACCGUAAGGCCUCGCGCGAUUGGAGCGGCCGAUAUCAGAUUAGCUAGUUGGUGGGGUAAAAGCCCACCAAGGCGACGAUCUGUAGCCGGUCUGAGAUGACGACCAGCCACACUGGGACUGGGACACGGCCCAGACUCCUGCGGGAGGCAGCAGUGGGGAAUUUUGGACAAUGGACGCAAGUCUGAUCCAGCCAUGCCGCGUGCGGGAAGAAGGCCUUCGGGUUGUAAACCGCUUUUGUCAGGGAAGAAACGAGUUUCUCUAAUACAGAGACUUAAUGACGGUACCUGAAGAAUAAGCACCGGCUAACUACGUGCCAGCCGCCGCCGUAAUAC
rnacentral:rRNA from 1 species